CCUACGGGAGGCAGCAGUGGGGAAUUUUGGACAAUAGGCGAAAGCCUGAUCCAGCAAUGCCGCGUGAGUGAAGAAGGCCUUCGGGUUGUAAAGCUCUUUUGUCAGGGAAGAAACGGUGAGAGCUAAUAUCUCUUGCUAAUGACGGUACCUGAAGAAUAAGCACCGGCUAACUACGUGCCAGCAGCCGCGGUAAU
rnacentral:rRNA from 1 species